AAAUGCUCUGUAGAUCUCGCAACGCAUUUUAGCUUCAGACUGCGUAGUGCAAGGAUCUAAAUGAGAUAUAAUAGGGGUCAUAUGUGACAAUUCACAGCAUUCUUAUCUCCCCUUAACGACGGGAAGUCUGUCUUAUCGAAGUGACAGUCUGCAAAACAUACGGUAAAGAGAUUGUAUGUCAAGGCCUCUAAAUAGUAAAGAGAUUCAAUAUGACAAUUAUUCUCUUGAAUAUCUCUAAAACUCAUCAAUGUUCUUUUAGAUUGGGGAGAAUAAAUGGCCUCUUUAAUGGUUAAUUUAGUACAAUUGAACAACAUUAUAUAGAUCGUUAUGUACCCUUCAAUCAGGUUGGAUGAGCCUGAGAGGGUUGUCAAUGGUGCAUUUUUAGGUACGAAGUUUGAGAAAUAGUGUAGCACAUGCA
rnacentral:lncRNA from 1 species